rfam:Ovis aries breed Texel chromosome 1, whole genome shotgun sequence.
AUCACCUAGAGAUCUUGUUAAAAUUCAAAUUUUAAUUCAGUGUGUGUCUGGAGUGGGGUCUACAAUUCUGCAUUUCUAACAAUUUCCCCAGUGAUGCUAA